AGUGUAUCUUGGCCUCGUUAUAAUUACUAACCAAUAGCGCUGCUCUGGUCGUGUCUCUAUCUCAAAACCCUAACCUUCGAAUUCUUCACUGUGACGGAGCUUCCUCUAUCUCAUCGAAGGAAAAAUGAGCAGCCGUGCUAGCAGGACUCUUUAUGUUGGAAAUCUUCCUGGUGAUAUUCGCGAGAGAGAAGUAGAAGAUUUGUUCUACAAGUAUGGACCCGUAGCCCACAUUGAUCUCAAGAUCCCACCAAGACCCCCUGGUUAUGCUUUUGUUGAGUUUGAAGAGGCUAGAGAUGCUGAAGAUGCAAUUCGUGGUCGUGAUGGCUAUGACUUUGAUGGGCAUAGACUACGGGUGGAGCUUGCACAUGGUGGGCGUGGGCAUUCUUCCUCGGAUCGUCACAGUAGCCAUAGUAGUGGUGGUGGUCGAGGUGGUGAUGGCGGCGGCGGCGGCGGCGGCGGUCGCGGACGAGGAGUGUCCAGACGCUCUGAGUAUCGAGUUCUGGUCACUGGGUUGCCCUCUUCGGCUUCAUGGCAAGACCUUAAGGAUCACAUGCGCCGUGCAGGUGAUGUCUGUUUCUCUCAAGUGUUUCGCGAUGGGAGUGGCACCACAGGCAUUGUAGAUUACACAAACUUUGAAGACAUGAAGCAUGCAAUUAAGAAACUUGAUGACACUGAGUUUCGAAAUGCAUUUUCUCGGGCGUACGUUCGGGUGAAGGAAUAUGAUUCCAAGAGGGACUCAUCGAGGAGCCCCAGUCGUGGUCGAUCUCGUUCAAAAGGCCGUAGCGUCAGCCGCAGCCGCAGCCGUAGUCGUGGCCGAAGUUCUAGUCGAAGCAGGAGCAGGAGCAAAUCUCCUAAAACUAAAUCCUUGCGUCGCUCACCUACUAAGUCAAGAUCAAGAUCUCCUGUACGGUCUGGGUCAAAGGCUCGUUCAUUGUCAAGUGAACUGGGAAUUGGAUUAGGAUCUUGAUGGGAUUUGGUUCAGUUCCUGCAUCUUUUUUGGUUGUGGAGGUAUGCUGUUUUUCAAAUGAGCAGCUUUGGAAACCAUGAUGGCAUAUCCUGUCUGAUGUAUUUAGUAUGAUAAAUAUCCAUGAGUGCUAGAUUGGGAACAAAGGAGAUUAUGGAAUGCAAUAGUAAAGCUGGAUAUCAGCAAACUAACUGCUAAUGGAUCUGGAAGUCACCUCCAAUAAGCGGUAGAAACUAUGUCAUUUUCAUUUUCUACUCCAACAGUUUCCAAGCUAAUAGGACCUGCUAGCUGGAUGCACUGGAAUUUGGGGUACAAUAGAGGACGCUUAUUCCUGUCCAAUGCGCACUUAAAAAAUCGCAUGAUUGCUUAGUUAAGAUUUUUUUUGGUUCAAUUAGGUGCUUUGAUUGGGUGGGAAUUUUUUAACUGGACCUGAUAUUUACAUUUCGUUUUGUCUCAUAUUGCUAAAGAUUUAUGGCUCUUUUAUUUUUUUCUCGAAUUUGGUAACUCUGACGUGGAAGAGGCAUCAAGGCUCUUGGAUGCGAGUUGUUAUAAAGGAACGUGUGGAUUUUAAAUUUGGGUUAUUUCUGGAACUUUUGCAGAUCGCGUUCAAGAUCAAGAUCUCCGCUUCCAUCUCGGCCGAAACGAGUGAGUAAAAGUCC